GGGCCGCACGCGCGCUACACUGACGGAGCCAGCGAGUACAUCCUUGGCCGAGAGGUCUGGGUAAUCUUGUGAAACUCCGUCGUGCUGGGGAUAGAGCAUUGCAAUUAUUGCUCUUCAACGAGGAAUUCCUAGUAAGCGCAAGUCAUCAGCUUGCGUUGAUUACGUCCC
rnacentral:rRNA from 1 species